AACGUCAAGAUCUCAAAGCGUUUUCAAGUUCGAUUCAAGUUUUCAAGCAAUAAUCUACACAUCAAAUCCGGAAUUUCUCAACCCAAAAACUACAUUUGAAGACGAAAAACUGAAAACAUUCGAACUGUAUGUUUGCAGAGUCGAAAUCGGACAAACACAGUUCACAGUUCUGAUUUGCAUCCAGACGAAAACACACA